rnacentral:rRNA from 1 species
GUGCCAGCCGCCGCGGUAAUACGUAGGGUGCAAGCGUUAAUCGGAAUUACUGGGCGUAAAGCGUGCGCAGGCGGUUCGGAAAGAAAGAUGUGAAAUCCCAGGGCUCAACCUUGGAACUGCAUUUUUAACUACCGGACUAGAGUGUGUCAGAGGGAGGUGGAAUUCCACGUGUAGCAGUGAAAUGCGUAGAUAUGUGGAGGAACACCGAUGGCGAAGGCAGCCUCCUGGGAUAACACUGACGCUCAUGCACGAAAGCGUGGGGAGCAAACAGGAUUAGAUACCCUGGUAGUCCACGCCCUAAACGAUGUCAACUAGCUGUUGGGGUUUUCGGACCUUAGUAGCGCAGCUAACGCGUGAAGUUGACCGCCUGGGGAGUACGGUCGCAAGAUUAAAACUCAAAUAAAUUGGCGG